rnacentral:tRNA from 1 species
GGGAAGGUGGCUCAGUGGUAGAGCACUUGCCUUGCAUGCAUGAGGCCCGAGGUUCAAUUCCUCAGCAUCACA